CAGCCGCCGCGGGAAUACGAAGGGGGCUAGCGUUGUUCGGAAUUACUGGGCGUAAAGCGCACGUAGGCGGAUAUUUAAGUCAGGGGUGAAAUCCCAAGGCUCAACCUUGGAACCGCCUUUGAUACUGUUUGUCUUGAGUUCGAGAGAGGUAAGUGGAACUGCGAGUGCAGAGGUGAAAUUCGUAGAUAUUCGCAAGAACACCAGUGGCGAAGGCGGCUUACUGGCUCGAAACUGACGCUGAGGCGCGAAAGCGUGGGGAGCAAAUGGGAUUAGAUACCCGCGUAGUCCCUGUCUCUUAUAA
rnacentral:rRNA from 1 species